rnacentral:rRNA from 1 species
GGAGUUAGCCGGUGCUUCUUCUGUGAGUGAUGUCCUUCCUGCCGGCUAUUAACCCGCAGGCCUUCUUCCUCACUGAAAGUGCUUUACAACCCGAAGGCCUUCUUCACACACGCGGCAUGGCUGGAUCAGGGUUGCCCCCAUUGUCCAAUAUUCCCCACUGCUGCCUCCCGUAGGAGUCUGGGCCGUGUCUCAGUCCCAGUGUGGCUGAUCAUCCUCUCAGACCAGCUACGGAUCGUCGCCUUGGUGAGCCGUUACCUCACCAACCAGCUAAUCCGACAUAGGCUCAUCCGAUAGCGCGAGGCCCGAAGGUCCCCCGCUUUCCCCCGUAGGGCGUAUGCGGUAUUAGCCUGGGUUUCCCCAGGUUAUCCCCCACUACCGGGCAGAUUCCUAUGCAUUACUCACCCGUCCGCCGCUCGCCACCAGGGAGCAAGCUCCCCGUGCUGCCGCUCGACUUGCAUGUGUUAGGCCUGCCGCCAGCGUUCAAUCUGAGCCAGANCAACUACUCGACUCGUAGCGGGCGGUCGGUCGACGGACGGCGACUAG